GCCACUGCCGUUUUAGAAGGGUUGACGUUAUGAAAACGACACUCAGUUCGGUCUUCAACUUCAUCACAUUCUCACAGAAUUAGAACAUCCAUACGUUCUUCUUGGAAACCCCAAAGUUUAAUUUUGUUCGGUGUACUAGCGGACAAUAUGAAGCAAAAGAUAACCAUUGAAGCGCAGAUUCGAUGCGAUAAAUGUCGGUCUCAGGCCAUGAAGAUAGCUGUUGCGGAAGAUGGUGUAACAUCAGUGGCUUUCCAGGGACCCAACAGAGACAAAAUGGUGAUAACUGGAGAGGGAGUUGAUGCCGCGGACAUGGCCAAGUCGUUGAGGAAGAAGCUUGGCUAUGCAGACUUGGUAAGUGUGGAAGAAAUUACUGAAAAGAAAGAUGUGAAGAAAGUUGAACCUAAACAGUAAAAGAAAGCCGAAAAUGCACGUGCAAAACCACAAACUCGUUCUCACCAUCCUCAGUUGGAAUUCUGCAUCCACGACCCACCAUCAAGGAGUAUGUGCACCAUUUUGUGAUAUGUACGAUGGCCAGAUAAAUGUUAUCUUGUGAAAUGGAUUCCUUUGAUGUACAUUAAUAAAUUAACGGUUUGACAACAUAAUACAUGUUUAGUAUUUAAUAGAAGUUAUUAUUUUCAGAUAAUUGUCGAAUUAGCUUGUAAUAUUUCAAAU